rnacentral:rRNA from 1 species
GACGUAGGGCGCAAGCGUUGUCCGGAUUUAUUGGGCGUAAAGAGCUCGUAGGCGGCUUGUCGCGUCGACCGUGAAAACCCGCAGCUCAACUGCGGGCUUGCGGUCGAUACGGGCAGGCUCGAGUUCGGUAGGGGAGACUGGAAUUCCUGGUGUAGCGGUGAAAUGCGCAGAUAUCAGGAGGAACACCGGUGGCGAAGGCGGCUCACUGGACCGUUGUUGACGCUGAGGUGCGAAAGCGUGGGGAGCAAACAGG